rnacentral:lncRNA from 1 species
GGCCUUUUUACCCUAGAUCUCAAAAAUAGAAUUCAAUUAAGGAUUGUUGUUUAGAUUGUGUAUAAUGUUCAAUACUGAUGGUUGAUGAGGGAGUGGUGGUUGAGAAGGGGCUUUGAUGACAUAGACGCCACUUCCUCUGUCUUUAAAAGUCAGACCGACAGAGAGACAGCAGUAACCAGGGUUUAAGUGUUGGAGAUGUUACUGCACUGGUGUCUGCUGUUGAUCGGUUUCUCUCUCAGCACAUCAACCACAGCAGCAGAAGCAAUUCUCUGGGUGAAGACAGGGGAGAAGUUUACCAUGAAGUGCUCCACCACUCUAAAAGACCAGGACGGAAUGUACCUGUAUGUUGGGCUGGACAGGGACAGGGAGGUGUUGUAUUACUACCAGCGUGGCUCCAAGCUGACCUCCAGGAAAGGCUACUGGGACAGAGUGACGACUGAGGGACCUGUGGACCAACUGACCAUCACCGUCAGUAACCUGACCAUAGAGGACACAGGAGUCUACUGGUGUGUUUACACAAAAGUCAACAAAUCCACGUUCAAUAAUUUUAGCACCCAAGGCAAAGGCUCCACUCUGGUGGUGGUGAAUGACGAUGCCCCACAGCUGCCAUGUCCUACAGCUACUGCAGUAACGCUGACCCCCUUUCAUCUGGCCAAUGAGAAGCUGUGCCCAUCUGGCGUGGUAAACAUCAUCAUCAUCAUCAUCAUCACCAGCCUCUUGACCAUCCUGCUGUGUGCUGUCAUUUUCCUCAUCUGGGUCGCUCCACGGGUGAAGAGGUGCUGUAACCAGGGAGGAUCCACACCCCAGGUCUUUCCUGAGUCUGUCUAUGAAGACAUGGCCAGGAAACACACUUAUCCACCAGACACACAGGUAGAAUCAUCCAUGUAUAGCCACAAGGUUUUCCCAGCUAGAAGCAGAAACGGAGCUAGCAGCAGAAAUUGAGACCAAGGAUAAGCAAUUCUCUGGGUGAAGACAGGGGAGAAGUUUACCAUGAAGUGCUCCACCACUCUAAAAGACCAGGACGGAAUGUACCUGUAUGUUGGGCUGGACAGGGACAGGGAGGUGUUGUAUUACUACCAGCGUGGCUCCAAGCUGACCCCCAGGAAAGGCUACUGGGAGAGAGUGAAGACUGAGGGACCUGUGGACCAACUGACCAUCAUCGUCAGUAACCUGACCAUACAGGACACAGGUGUCUACCUGUGUAUUUACACAAAAUUCAAUGAAACCACGAAUGAAAAUGAAAUCAACCAAGGAAGAGGCUCCACUCUGGUCGUGGUGAAUGACGAUGACCCACAGCUGCCAUGUCCUACAGCUACUGCAGUAACGCUGACCCCCUUUCACCCAGCCAAUGAGAAGCCGUGCGCAUCUGGCGUGGUAAACAUCAUCAUCAUCAUCAUCACCACCACCAGCCUCUUGACCAUCCUACUGUGUGCCAUCUUCCUCAUCUGGCUCCCUCCACGGGUGAAGAGGUGCUGUAACCAGGGAG